AAAUCGUACCCCAAACCGACACAGGUGGUCAGGUAGAGAAUACCAAGGCGCUUGAGAGAACUCGGGUGAAGGAACUAGGCAAAAUGGUGCCGUAACUUCGGGAGAAGGCACGCUGAUAUGUAGGUGAAGUCCCUCGCGGAUGGAGCUGAAAUCAGUCGAAGAUACCAGCUGGCUGCAACUGUUUAUUAAAAACACAGCACUGUGCAAACACGAAAGUGGACGUAUACGGUGUGACGCCUGCCCGGUGCCGGAAGGUUAAUUGAUGGGGUUAGCGGUAACGCGAAGCUCUUGAUCGAAGCCCCGGUAAACGGCGGCCGUAACUAUAACGGUCCUAAGGUAGCGAAAUUCCUUGUCGGGUAAGUUCCGACCUGCACGAAUGGCGUAAUGAUGGCCAGGCUGUCUCCACCCGAGACUCAGUGAAAUUGAACUCGCUGUGAAGAUGCAGUGUACCCGCGGCAAGACGGAAAGACCCCGUGAACCUUUACUAUAGCUUGACACUGAACAUUGAGCCUUGAUGUGUAGGAUAGGUGGGAGGCUUUGAAGUGUGGACGCCAGUCUGCAUGGAGCCGACCUUGAAAUACCACCCUUUAAUGUUUGAUGUUCUAACGUUGACCCGUGAUCCGGGUUGCGGACAGUGUCUGGUGGGUAGUUUGACUGGGGCGGUCUCCUCCUAAAGAGUAACGGAGGAGCACGAAGGUUGGCUAAUCCUGGUCGGACAUCAGGAGGUUAGUGCAAUGGCAUAAGCCAGCUUGACUGCGAGCGUGACGGCGCGAGCAGGUGCGAAAGCAGGUCAUAGUGAUCCGGUGGUUCUGAAUGGAAGGGCCAUCGCUCAACGGAUAAAAGGUACUCCGGGGAUAACAGGCUGAUACCGCCCAAGAGUUCAUAUCGACGGCGGUGUUUGGCACCUCGAUGUCGGCUCAUCACAUCCUGGGGCUGAAGUAGGUCCCAAGGGUAUGGCUGUUCGCCAUUUAAAGUGGUACGCGAGCUGGGUUUAGAACGUCGUGAGACAGUUCGGUCCCUAUCUGCCGUGGGCGCUGGAGAACUGAGGGGGGCUGCUCCUAGUACGAGAGGACCGGAGUGGACGCAUCACUGGUGUUCGGGUUGUCAUGCCAAUGGCACUGCCCGGUAGCUAAAUGCGGAAGAGAUAAGUGCUGAAAGCAUCUAAGCACGAAACUUGCCCCGAGAUGAGUUCUCCCUGACUCCUUGAGAGUCCUGAAGGAACGUUGAAGACGACGACGUUGAUAGGCCGGGUGUGUAAGCGCAGCGAUGCGUUGAGCUAACCGGUACUAAUGAACCGUGAGGCUUAACCUU
rnacentral:rRNA from 1 species